GUAUAGAUUAAUGGCCUUUCGGCACAAUCACGUUCGAUUAUUUAGAUAGAGUUUGUAAGAAGAAGGCGAGUCGACCAAGUUAAUGGCUUUCCUCGAACCUUCAGAUGUGCACAGGUGUAUGGGAUAAGAAUUUCGGAAGCGAGCACAUGCAGCGAACUGCCAGCUUCAACUCCCUAAGUAAAUUCAUUAAUGAUCCUUCCGCAGGUUCACCUACGGAAA
rnacentral:misc_RNA from 1 species